AACGUAGGGGGCUAGCGUUGCCCGGAUUCACUGGGCGUAAAGCGGGCGUAGGCGGUUCUUUAAGUCGGAUGUGAAAUCCAGCGGCCCAACCGCUGAAUUGCAUCCGAUACUGGGGAACUUGAGGACGGUAGAGGUCGGUGGAAUAUCCGGUGUACCGGUGAAAUGGACAGAUAUCGGAUGGAACACCAGUGGCGAAGGCGGCCGACUGGGCCGAUCCUGACGCUGAGACCCGAAAGCUAGGGUAGCGAACCGG
rnacentral:rRNA from 1 species